ensembl:snoRNA SNORA73 Small nucleolar RNA SNORA73 family
CCAAUGUGGGCAAUCACUGGGAUCACUCAGUGGUUCUGUCCAUGUGGCGUAAAGGAGCAUAGCACUCUGGUGCAAUGGUGUAUAAUCCUGUUCCACGACAUUGGAGAUCAAACUUGUCCCUAGUCUUUGGACUGAUGAGGGCAUGGUCCUGUAUAUUCCUUAUCUUCUCAGUAUCUCAUUGCUGAGGAGAAAAACCAUACAGGGCACAUUU